rnacentral:tRNA from 1 species
UCUAAUUUAUCUUAUAAAAAAAGAAAUUAAUUUUUCCUUAAAAAUUUAUGAACGCAUAUUUAGAA